rnacentral:rRNA from 1 species
GGUAGUCCACGCUGUAAACGAUGCUCACUAGAUGUGGGGGGUAUCGACCCCCUCCGCGUCGAAGCUAACGCGAUAAGUGAGCCGCCUGGGGACUACGGCCGCAAGGCUAAAACUCAAAGGAAUUGACGGGGGCCCGCACAAGCAGCGGAGCGUGUGGUUUAACUCGAUGCGACGCGAAGAACCUUACCUGGGCUUGAACGUGCCCUGACAGCCGGUGAAAGCCGGUCUCCCUUCGGGGGCAGGGUGCGAGGUGAUGCACGGCUGUCGUCAGCUCGUGCCGUGAGGUGUUGGGUUAAG